rnacentral:rRNA from 1 species
AGACCGGUUUAUUGGUCGUGCUUUUGUACGUACUGGUAUUAUUGGUUUCUCCUUUCUGACGAACUAUAAUGCCAUUAAUUUGGUGUUAUGGGGAAUCAGGACUGUUACUUUGAAAAAAUUAGAGUGUUUAAAGCAGGCUCACGCUUGAAUACAUUAGCAUGGAAUAACGGAAUAGGACGUUUGAUCCUAUUUUGUUGGUUUCUAGGAUUGACGUA